rnacentral:rRNA from 1 species
GUGGGGAAUAUUGGACAAUGGGCGAAAGCCUGAUCCAGCCAUGCCGCGUGUGUGAAGAAGGUCUUCGGAUUGUAAAGCACUUUAAGUUGGGAGGAAGGGCAGUAAGUUAAUACCUUGCUGUUUUGACGUUACCGACAGAAUAAGCACCGGCUAACUUCGUGCCAGCAGCCGCGGUAAUACGAAGGGUGCAAGCGUUAAUCGGAAUUACUGGGCGUAAAGCGCGAGUAGGUGGUUUUGUAAGUUGGAGGUGAAAUCACCGGGCUCAACCUGGGAACUGCCUCCAAAACUGCAUGACUAGAGUACGGUAGAGGGUAGUGGAAUUUCCUGUGUAGCGGUGAAAUGCGUAGAUAUAGGAAGGAACACCAGUGGCGAAGGCGACUACCUGGACUGAUACUGACACUGAGGUGCGAAAGCGUGGGGAGCAAACAGGAUUAGAUACCCCAGUAGUCC